rnacentral:lncRNA from 1 species
GGAAUGCACUCUGCAGCUCCUGGAGCAGCUCCAGGUGAAGGUGCAGUAUUUUGUCCUCCUAGUGGCUGCAGAGUUCUCCUCCAGGAAGGAGCAGCUUGUGUUUCUGAUCAAUAACUCUGACAUGAUGCUCGGGGGUGCUGAUGGAGUUCAUUGUGGAGUUGCUGUCUCCCUAAUUUGGGGGUCUGGUGGCAUUUGUGAAGGAGGCCAAAGCCUUGAUUGGGCAUGGGCAGGAUGAGCAGCUCUGAGGGGAGGAA